rnacentral:tRNA from 2 species
GCGCCUGUGGCUCAACUGGAUAGAGCAUCUGACUUCGGAUCAGAGGGUUGGGGGUUCGAGUCCCUCCAGGCGUGC